CCUACACCAUUUCAGACAAAUUGUUGUCCAAACUCUUCUUAAAAACCUCCAGUGUUGGAGCAUCCACAAGUUCUCAAAGCAAGUUGUUCCACUAAUUAAUUGCUCUAGCUGUCAGAAAAUUUUUCUUUAGUUCUGGGUUGCUUCUCUCCUUG